UAAAGUUGGUUUCACAGAUUUGAUGAUUAGUUCUAUGAGACGGAAGACACUUAGAGAGACAUCUAGACAAGAUGACGGACACACCAAAAGUUUUUUCUCUUCUCUCUUCUUCUCUGUGGACCAAAAACUAUCCUCCAACUUUUGGGAGCAUUGUCCGUCCUUGCCCUUCGAUGUCUCAACCAAUCCCGUCGAAUGAGAGAAAAGGGUUCGAAAUCAUUCCCGAAUCCCAUUCGCUCCGACACAUGACGAUUUUUCCCGGGAUUGGCGGCAGAACUGUCAGGAUUUUAUUUUUAUGAUUCGGGGGUUGUUGGGAGAUCUGGUGAACUUUGACCUCCUUAAUGUCAGC
rnacentral:lncRNA from 1 species